CAAGUCGAACGAACUCUUCGGAAUUAGUGGCGGACGGGUGAGUAACCCGUUGGAACCUCCCUUUAGGUUCGGAAUAACUCAGGGAAACUUGUGCUAAUACCGAAUGUGCCCUUCGGGGGAAAGAUUUAUCGCCUUUAGAGCGGCCCGCGUCUGAUUAGCUAGUUGGUGAGGUAAAGGCUCACCAAGGCGACGAUCAGUAGCUGGUCUGAGAGGAUGAUCAGCCACAUUGGGACUGAGACACGGCCCAAACUCCUACGGGAGGCAGCAGUGGGGAAUCUUGCGCGAUGGGCGAAAGCCUGACGCAGCCAUGCCGCGUGAAUGAUGAAGGUCUUAGGAUUGUAAAAUUCUUUCACCGGGGACGAUAAUGACGGUACCCGGAGAAGAAGCCCCGGCUAACUUCGUGCCAGCAGCCGCGGUAAUACGGAGGGGGCUAGCGUUGCUCGGAAUUACUGGGCGUAAAGGGAGCGUAGGCGGACACUUAAGUCAGGGGUGAAAUCCCGGGGCUCGACCUCGGAAUUGCCUUUGACACUGGGUGUCUUGAGUAUGAGAGAGGUGUGUGGAACUCCGAGUGUAGAGGUGAAAUUCGUAGAUAUUCGGAAGAACACCAGUGGCGAAGGCGACACACUGGCUCAUUACUGACGCUGAGGCUCGAAAGCGUGGGGAGCAAACAGGAUUAGAUACCCUGGUAGUCCACGCCGUAAACGAUGAUUGCUAGUUGUCGGGAUGCAUGCAUUUCGGUGACGCAGCUAACGCAUUAAGCAAUCCGCCUGGGGAGUACGGUCGCAAGAUUAAAACCCAAAGGAAUUGACGGGGGCCUGCACAAGCGGUGGAGCAUGUGGUUUAAUUCGAAGCAACGCGCAGAACCUUACCACCUUUUGACAUGCCUGGACCGUCAGAGAGAUCUGGCUUUCCCUUCGGGACUAGGA
rnacentral:rRNA from 1 species